rnacentral:rRNA from 1 species
AAUAGAUACCCGGGUAGUCCACGCCGUAAACGAUGGAUGCUAGCUGUUAUGCGGUAUCGACCCGUGUAGUAGCGAAGCUAACGCGUUAAGCAUCCCGCCUGGGGAGUACGAACGCAAGUUUAAAACUCAAAGGAAUUGACGGGGACCCGCACAAGCGGUGGAGCGUGUUCUUUAAUUCGAGGCUAAGCGAAGAACCUUACCAGGGCUUGACAUCCUUGGAAUUUCUCCGAAAGGAGAGAGUACUUUAUUGGACCAAGUGACAGGUGCUGCAUGGCCGUCGUCAGCUCGCGUCGUGAGAUGUUUGGUUAAGUCCAUUAACGAGCGCAACCCUUAUGAAUAGUUGUAUUUUUCUAUUCAGACUGCCCCGGUAACGGGGAGGAAGGGGGGAUGAUGUCAGGUCAGUAUUGCCCUUACGCCCUGGGCUAGAAACGCGCUACAAUGGCCGGUACAAUGCGCUGCCAACCCGCGAGGGGGAGCAAAUCGCAUCAAAGCCGGUCCCAGUUCGGAUAAGAGGCUGAAACUCGCCUCUUUGAAGCCGGAAUCGCUAGUAAUCGU